UACAGAGGGUGCAAGCGUUAAUCAGAUUUACUGGGCGUAAAAGGGCGCGUAGGUGGUUGUUUUAAGUGAGAUGUGAAAUCCCCGGGCUUAACCUGGGAACUGCAUCUUAUACUGGGCAACUGGAGUGCAAUAGAGGGUAGGUGGAAUUUCCGGGUGUAGCGGUGAAAUUCGUAGAUAUUGGGAAGAACACCGGUGGCGAAGGCGGCGACCUGGUC
rnacentral:rRNA from 1 species